GCCAGACUCCUACGGGAGGCAGCAGUGGGGGAUAUUGCACAAUGGGGGAAACCCUGAUGCAGCGACGCCGCGUGUGGGAAGACGGUCCUCUGGAUUGUAAACCACUGUCCCCAGGGACGAAGAUGACGGUACCUGGGGAGGAAGCUCCGGCUAACUACGUGCCAGCAGCCGCGGUAAUACGUAGGGAGCAAGCGUUGUCCGGAUUUACUGGGUGUAAAGGGUGCGUGGGCGGCUUUGCAAGUCAGAAGUGAAAUCCAUGGGCUUAACCCAUGAACUGCUUUUGAAACUGCAGAGCUUGAGUGGAGUAGAGGUAGGCGGAAUUCCCGGUGUAGCGGUGAAAUGCGUAGAGAUCGGGAGGAACACCAGUGGCGAAGGCGGCCUGCUGGGCUCUAACUGACGCUGAGGCACGAAAGCGUGGGUAGCAAACAGGAUUAGAUACCCCAGUAC
rnacentral:rRNA from 1 species